rnacentral:rRNA from 1 species
CAAUAGCGUAUAUUAAAGUUGUUGCAGUUAAAAGCUCGUAGUUGGAUUUCUGGCAGGAGCGACCGGUCACACACUCUGUGCGUGAACUUGUGUUGUCUCUGGCCAUCCUUGGGAGAUCCUGUUUGGCAUUAAGUUGUCGGGCAGGGGAUACCCAUCGUUUACUGUGAAAAAUUAGAGUGUUUAAAGCAGGCUUAUGCCGUUGAAUAUAUUAGCAUGGAAUAAUAACAUAGGACUCGGGUUCUAUUUUGUUGGUUUCUAGGACUCAAGUAAUGAUUGAUAGGGACAGUUGGGGUGCUGCUAUUAUAUGGCCAGAGGUGAAAUUCACGGAUUCAUAUAAGAGCAACUUAUGCGAAAGCAUUCACCAAGGAUGUCUUCUUUAAUCAAGAACGAAAGUUGGGGGAUCGAAGACGAUUAUAUACCA